rnacentral:rRNA from 1 species
GGCAGCACGGGGAGGGGCAACUCUUCCUGGUGGCGAGUGGCGAACGGGUGAGUAAUGCAUCGGAACGUGUCCUCUUGUGGGGGAUAACCAGUCGAAAGACUGGCUAAUACCGCAUGAGAUCGAAAGAUGAAAGCGGGGGACCGCAAGGCCUCGCGCGAGAGGAGCGGCCGAUGCCGGAUUAGCUAGUUGGUGGGGUAAAAGCCCACCAAGGCGACGAUCCGUAGCUGGUCUGAGAGGACGACCAGCCACACUGGGACUGAGACACGGCCCAGACUCCUACGGGAGGCAGCAGUGGGGAAUUUUGGACAAUGGGCGCAAGCCUGAUCCAGCCAUGCCGCGUGUGUGAAGAAGGCCUUCGGGUUGUAAAGCACUUUCGGACGGAACGAAAUCGCGCGGGUUAACAGCCCGCGUGGAUGACGGUACCGUAAGAAGAAGCACCGGCUAACUACGUGCCAGCAGCCGCGGUAAUACGUAGGGUGCGAGCGUUAAUCGGAAUUACUGGGCGUAAAGGGUGCGCAGGCGGCCCCGCAAGUCAGGCGUGAAAUCCCCGGGCUCAACUUGGGAAUGGCGCUUGAAACUACGGGGCUGGAGUGUGGCAGAGGGAGGUGGAAUUCCACGUGUAGCGGUGAAAUGCGUAGAGAUGUGGAGGAACACCGAUGGCGAAGGCAGCCUCCUGGGCCAACACUGACGCUCAUGCACGAAAGCGUGGGGA